CGACUUGGAGGUUGUUCCCUUGAGGAGUGGCUUCCGGAGCUAACGCGUUAAGUCGACCGCCUGGGGAGUACGGCCGCAAGGUUAAAACUCAAAUGAAUUGACGGGGGCCCGCACAAGCGGUGGAGCACGUGGUUUAAUUCGAUGCAACGCGAAGAACCUUACCUACUCUUGACAUCCAGCGAACUUGGCAGAGAUGCCUUGGUGCCUUCGGGAACGCUGAGACAGGUGCUGCAUGGCUGUCGUCAGCUCGUGUUGUGAAAUGUUGGGUUAAGUCCCGCAACGAGCGCAACCCUUAUCCUUUGUUGCCAGCGAGUCAUGUCGGGAACUCAAAGGAGACUGCCGGUGAUAAACCGGAGGAAGGUGGGGAUGACGUCAAGUCAUCAUGGCCCUUACGAGUAGGGCUACACACGUGCUACAAUGGCGCAUACAAAGAGAAGCGACCUCGCGAGAACAAGCGGACCCCACAAAGUGCGUCGUAGUCCGGAUCGAAGUCUGCAACUCGACUCCGUGAAGUCGGAAUCGCUAGUAAUCGUGGAUCAGAAUGCCACGGUGAACACGUUCCCGGGCCUUGUACACACCGCCCGUCACACCAUGUUGUGGGUUGCAAAAGAAGUAGGUAGCUUAACCUUCGGGAGGGCGCUUACCACUUUGUGAUUCAUGACUGGAGUGAAGUCGUAACAAGGUAAC
rnacentral:rRNA from 1 species